UACGUAGGGCGCAGGCGUUAUCCGGAAUUAUUGGGCGUAAAGAGCUCGUAGGCGGUUUGUCGCGUCUGUCGUGAAAGCUUGGGGCUUAACCCCAAGUCUGCGGUGGAUACGGGCAGACUAGAGGCAGGUAGGGGAGAACGGAAUUCCCGGUGUAGCGGUGAAAUGCGCAGAUAUCGGGAGGAACACCGGUGGCGAAGGCGGUUCUCUGGGCCUGUACUGACGCUGAGGAGCGAAAGCGUGGGGAGCGAACAGG
rnacentral:rRNA from 1 species